UAUUAAGAUUGACAAACUUCAUGCUGCUCUGGCUCUAUCUAUCUGGCGUGGAGAGGAGGUCGUGUUGCUCUGACUUUAUCUAUCUGGCUUGGAGAGGAAGUCGUGUUGCUCUGGCUCUAUCUAUUUGGCGUGGAGAGGAGGAAGUGUUGCUCUGGCUCUAUCUAUCUGGCGUGGAGAGGAGGUCGUGUUGCUCUGGCUCUAUCUGUUUGGCGGCGCCGGGAAGCUG